UACGUAGGGUGCAAGCGUUGUCCGGAAUUAUUGGGCGUAAAGAGCUCGUAGGCGGUGUGUCACGUCGGCCGUGAAAACCUGCAGCUUAACUGUGGGCGUGCGGUCGAUACGGGCAUCACUGGAGUUCGGCAGGGGAGACUGGAAUUCCUGGUGUAGCGGUGAAAUGCGCAGAUAUCAGGAGGAACACCGGUGGCGAAGGCGGGUCUCUGGGCCGAUACUGACGUUGAGGAGCGAAAGCGUGGGGAGCAAACAGG
rnacentral:rRNA from 1 species